AUUGAACGCUGGCGGCAGGCCUAACACAUGCAAGUCGAACGAGUGGCGGACGGGUGAGUAAUGUAUGGGAAACUGCCCGAUAGAGGGGGAUAACUACUGGAAACGGUAGCUAAUACCGCAUACCAUCGGAUGUGCCCAGAUGGGCUUAGCUAGUAGGUGGGGUAAAGGCUCACCUAGGCGACGAUCCCUAGCUGGUCUGAGAGGAUGACCAGCCACACUGGAACUGUGACACGGCCCAGACUCCUACGGGAGGCAGCAGUGGGGAAGAUUGCACAAUGGGCGCAAGCCUGAUGCAGCCAUGCCGCGUGUAUGAAGAAGGCCUUAGGGUUGUAAAGUACUUUCAGCGGGGAGGCGUUACCCGCAGAAGAAGCACCGGCUAACUCCGUGCCAGCAGCCGCGGUAAUUC
rnacentral:rRNA from 1 species